GGUUAUAAAAAGUAAGCAUGAUGAAUGAUACCACAAUGAAUUUAUUUGAUGUUAUAGAAUGAAAUAUGUUCAUACGUGAUUUGUGAUAAGAAUGCAUAGAACUUAUUGUGCAACUCAGAUGAAAACAAGCACUGGGAGGACCGAAAUGAAUACGUACGCGUCGAUAGACUCCAGGAAAGGAUGGAUUGGUAAGUAAAAUGAUUUCAUUGUGAAAUUUGAUUGUAUUAAUGCUAAUUUUAUACAAGUCUAGAUGUUGA
rnacentral:lncRNA from 1 species